CCUCUUCGAUAAAGUUAGACCUUGACGUGGUGAAGAGGCUUUAACUAACAUAACU
rnacentral:ribozyme from 1 species